AUAACGAAAGCGAAAGUUAAUGUCAAAGGCAUCGAUGGUGUCAUGAGUUUGAGAAGCGUAUCUGUAGUACUACUUCGUUACAGGACUUUAUUUCAAAUUCAUACGCAUUAUUAUCAAAUUAAUAAUUUAACAUUUAGAUCUAGAUCUAAUACUAUCGGACCCCUCUCAUCAUGGACUCAUACAUGCUGCCCCCUUGCAAGCUACAAGCAUACUAAAACAAACAUGCCAAAAUUAAAGACAGACAAAAAGGAAAAUAAGGCAUUUGUCAGUCCUUGAAGAUCUUGUGAUAUCAUAAACAAGGAUAAAAAUAUGAUGAUUAUAAAAUUAUAAAGCAGGUACUAGUUCAGUGGGUGCAAGUAACUCAAAAAGUCUAUAUAGCCCAGUCACAUUACAUUCAGAUCAAUCUAUUGCUAUCAGAAUUUUAGCCAAACCUGGUGCUAAGCAGAAUAACAUCACAGACCUUACAGCUG